rnacentral:lncRNA from 12 species
GAGAAACCCUAAUGUGGAGUCUUUUUUUUUUCUUUCUUUCUUUUUAAGAAGUGAAGUCUAGCAACUUCCAAGUUGCAGCCAAAAUGAUCAAAGUUGCCGGCAUUUCGAGGCCAAAGUACUGAGUCCUGUGGUUGAUUCCCUGGGCCUGGCCGGUGUCACUUCCCUGUGCCGAGGACGUGCAGGUGGAGCAGAGCAGAAGGAGACAAGGUGA